AGAAACUUAGGAUAAUCAGAACCAAACCGAAGGCCUUCAAAUCCUUAAAUGAGAGUUAGACCCUCUUAGUUUCUG
rnacentral:tRNA from 1 species